rnacentral:rRNA from 1 species
GACGAACGCUGGCGGCGUGCUUAACACAUGCAAGUCGAACGAUGAAGCCGGAGCUUGCUCUGGUGAAUUAGUGGCGAACGGGUGAGUAACACGUGAGUAACCUGCCCUUGACUCUGGGAUAACUGCGGGAAACUGUAGCUAAUACCGGAUACGACCCUCGGAGGCAUCUUCAGGGGGUGGAAAGAAUUUCGGUCAAGGAUGGACUCGCGGCCUAUCAGCUAGUUGGUGAGGGAAUGGCUCACCAAGGCGACGACGGGUAGCCGGCCUGAGAGGGGAACCGGCCACACUGGGACUGAGACACGGCCCAGACUCCUACGGGAGGCAGCAGUGGGGAAUAUUGCACAAUGGGCGCAAGCCUGAUGCAGCAACGCCGCGUGAGGGAUGACGGCCUUCGGGUUGUAAACCUCUUUUAGUAGGGAAGAAGCGAAAGUGACGGUACCUGCAGAAAAAGCACCGGCUAACUACGUGCCAGCCGCCGCCGUAA